GGUUCCAUCGUCUAGUGGUUAGGACGCGGCCCUCUCAAGGCUGCAACACGAGUUCAAAUCUCGUUGGAAUCACCA
rnacentral:tRNA from 1 species